GCGGGUGUAGCUCAGCUGGAUAGAGUACCUGGCUACGAACCAGGUGGUCAGGGGUUCGAAUCCCUUCACCCGCA
rfam:Psychromonas ingrahamii 37, complete genome.